rnacentral:tRNA from 3 species
GCCGAUGUAGCUUAAUGGUAAAGCAGCGCUUUCGUAAAGCGAAGAGUGGCGGUUCGAUCCCGCCCAUCGGCUCCA